GCAUAGAAGAUCUUUACUUUGAUUCUUCACUACAUAAAACGGAGCGUCACAGAAGUUUAAAUCAGGCUACAUUUAUUUAAAAUCUGCUCAUUCUGAUGGCGGUCCAUACAGCAGUGCUUGCUUAUUUUUUCGGUCAUUAUCAUGUUGUAGUUUUUGGGUUGAAACCAGAGAGAAAGAUGUUUUCCUGCGUUUUGGUAUCGUGGUCCGAGGUGAGGCUCCAAAAAACGUUUCUGCGUCUCCUCAAACGCGUUCACUUUAUAUGCUGAAGCGUCGAAUUUGUUACUUCUAAUAACUGCGGUUUCCGCGUCGAGAUAGACUGCGACUUAGGGGAAGUUCCACCCCUGCUCUUGCCUCUGACAGUUUUUUUCUACUUACGUAAGCUGUAGGAGUCGGCCUCCCCGCUCUGAGAGCCUUUAAAAACGCCUGCCUGCGUGCAGGAUGUGUUGUGGACUGAGUUUAUCUGACAUGUACAUUUAUAAACAGCUGUGCGACAACAAAGUCAUCGGAAGACGGACUUUCUUCUCAGCAAAAUACAAGAAAUUAUUUCAAAAAGGAAAAUAUGAGUACAGCUCAAUACAUCUGUGACGGUGUGUGCACUGCAGUGCUCAGCGGUGUGUCUGAGAUCUGCGAGAUGCUCGUGAACGUCUUCGCAUGUGGAGGAGAAAUACAUGAUCAGGAUGUAGCAGCAGAUCAUUCCGCAGAGUCAGGAGAAGAAG
ensembl:lncRNA